CCUAAAUUAUGCAAACUCCACAGACUGUGCCGUUUUAAAUUUCAUACAGGGCGUAAAUAAAAUGCAUUACAAAAUUAACCUGUGGGAUAAUUCCUUUUAAAAGAGGAAACAGCAUAGUGGGUUUCAUGGAUCAAUGCAACAGAUAUCUUAUGGGUGUGAGAGCAGCAUAACGUUCUCUAUACCAGUGGACCCUAACCCAGCCCUC